GGAGGACGUUCACCACGGAGUGAUUCAUGACUGGGGUGAAGUCGUAACAAGGUAGCCCUAGGGGAACCUGGGGCUGGAUCACCUCCUUAUACGA
rnacentral:rRNA from 1 species